UGUACGCUUGUGUGUGAUGGCGUCCUUAGUCUUAUUACUUUUCCUCUCCUCAGUAUACACAUUUCGGUGCUAUUCUGCGGCGUGCAGGCAACAUAUACUCAGAACAGGAAGAUGGAGGAACAUACAGAUUGGUUUUAGUUUUUCCUUAACCAGAAAAGGUGGUAAACACAAGUGAGGCGCGAGGAGGUGAUGACGAUGAUGAUGAGGAUGAGGAUGAUGAGGAGGAGGAUCAGUGUUUUCGACAAGUAAUCAUCCACCGCUCCCCACAGCCACCUAUCUACCGACCCACCUACCUAUUAACCCCCGCAUCCACCUACUUGCCAACCUGCCUUCAUGCCUACUCACCGACUCAACCUUCCUUGCUACAUGUUCGCUUGCCUGUCUACCUCCAGCGUGAGGAUUAACUGUUCGUGUGUGCCUGUGUAGCUACAACGCGGAUGCCUCGCUCUUCACCUGCACUGUUCACACCUGGAAAUCACACACCUGAUAUGCUGCCUAUUGAGGUCUAUCUGCACAGCAUCACGGAAGGUGUGUGGCGCAAAUGUGGCGAGGCGGCGGCAGACACCCGUCCCCCCUUUCCCCCUGCACUCCGCCCCUCCAUCACGGGCAGCAGACGGGAGGAGCCCCGCCUAACGGAGUGGAAGAUUGAGCCGCAGGUAAGUGUGUGCGGUGUUUGGUGCAUUACGUCCAGGUGGCCAUUUAGCGCCUCAUCGCACCGUCGGGAGCAGUAACGGCCAGAGUGGCGCCGUGAGUCACCCUCGCCGCGGCACUCAAGGCGCAAAACGGAUGAUUUGUUUGUGGUCCUAUCAGCA